GUGUGUAAUAUGCAAAGCCACGGUAUUGGACCCUGGUUCGGGGAGACGGGGAGACGUCACCGUGGGCCAGGGAACGUCCACGGUGACAGAAGCAUCCGCUUACUGCAACUCCGAUUCCCACAAACCCAGCAGAAACGGUCCAUGCUUACACAGCAAGCAGCCUCCUCAGCACCCCAAGUGCCCCAGCGGCGGCUGCCAGGAAGCCAAGCCCAGAGGGGCCUCCUGCACUGGGCGGGGCCCUGGAAGGCAAGAGGCACACGGGGGCAGCUGGUACCUCCUACCUUCAUCAGAUCGGUGGCACUUUCUCGAAAAGUUUCCUCAUUCCCUCUCCCAUUGGGUAUGGAGUCACAGGGAGAACAAAAGGGUGUGUUAUCUCACUCUGAGGAGGUGGGGCGGGGGAGGAGGCGGGGGUAGGCGCCUGUGGGGGAGGGAGGCUGAGUCCUGGCAGGCACGCAGUGAUGCAAUCCCGGAAGAAGCCUGUGGAAACGAGCCAUACACCUGGGGAGCGAGCCCCUUGCCUCACUGACCCUGAGCGCCAUCCCCUCACUCCAGGGGCCUCCUUUCAAGAUGGAAUCCUGAACCCUCAGAGGUUAGAACUGCCCAGGAUCCCAGGCUGGCUGAUACCUGUCCCUCUCUGCCCUGCAAGAUGUAAAGUUCUGUUUCCACUGACCUCCCUCCCUAUUCCUGGGUCUCUCCCCUGGUCCUGGGCCAGCCAAGCCCCAGCCCUCCUUUCAGGCUCAAGCUCCUUUCCGAGCAGGUGGAUGCCGGAGUGUGCAGAAAGCCGUCCCUGCUGUUUGAAGACCGCAAUGGCGAGGAAAGGGACAAGCUGCUCUUCUAAACUGCAUGGGUUUGGCGCUUUCUCCCGGUUCCUCUAUUUCCUGUGGAGGUGGGAGCAAAUUGCUCUUGUGGGAAAUCCCUUUUGUUUUUAGG